GACAGAGGGUGCAAACGUUAUUCGGAAUCACUGGGCUUAAAGCGUGUGUAGGCGGAUCGUUAAGUGUCUUGUGAAAUCCCACGGCUCACCCGUGGAACUGCUGGGCAUACUGGCGAUCUUGGGCCAACUAGGGGCAACUGGAACAAGCGGUGGAGCGGUGAAAUGCGUAGAUAUCGCUUGGAACGCCGAAGGUGAAAACAGGUUGCUGGGGUUGUGCCGACGCUGAGACACGAAAGCCAGGGGAGCAAACGGG
rnacentral:rRNA from 1 species